AUGCAGCCUAUAUGUCAUAAGGUCCUGGAACUGCAGUUGUUGCUAACGGCGCGAUAUGAGAAACACCUCCACAUGUGCCCAGCGGAGAUGUUGUGCGUUUAUGCAAAAUAUGCUGAAUUCCUUCCAAACGCCGUAGAAGGCCACUGCCUGCAUUACCCGCCGGGUGUUCUCCCCAGGGUUUGGACCUCCAACGAGGCUUAAAUGAUGUGUCUGCAAGAUGGAAUACAUUUUCUAAAUAGGAGAGGAGUUCAUUGAUGGUGCCACACACUUCAAGGCUCAUCUCCUCUGCUUGCUGGCAAGUCCCAUCACCCAGGGCACGAGCAUAAAGUUCAUGCAUGGCUGCUAUUGUGCUCCUCAUUGCCUUCAUCUCACUCUCUAUGCUUACUAUUUUUUGAAUGAGGAGGCUAAGGAGGUGAUCUGAGGAGAAUCAAUAUUGAUUCGUUAAAAUUAAGGUAUGUAAAACUAGGACUUUCUUUUCAUAUUCACCAUAACCGUCAGCUAAAGGGAUCAUUCAUUGAAAAAUGAAAGUUAUGUCAUUAAUUGCCAUCCCUCAUGUCGUCACAAACCUGUAAGACCUUUGUUCAUCUGCAGAACACAACUUAAGAUAUUUCUGAGAAAUCUGAGCCUUUUCUGACCCUCCACAGACAGCAAUUUAGCUGAAAUGUUCUCAGACCCAGAAAUAAAGUAAUAACAUAGUCUAUGUGACAUCAGUGGUUCAGCUGUUAUUUUUAUGAAGCUACAAGAAUACUUUUUGUUUGCAAAGAAAACAAAAAUAACGACUUAAUUCAAUGAUUUCCUCUCAUUUGUGUCACUGUCCUCCUCCGUUGUCAAGAGUACCAUGAAGCAUGUGUGUGCAGUCUUCUGCUUGUAAACAAGGCACAGCGUUUGUGUCUUCUACGUCAGCAGCAGAUUUUAAUUUUGUAUUUUAUUCGCAUACAUAGAACACAUCAAAUAUGUCAGCAGCAGAUUUUAAUUUUGUAUUUUAUUCGCAUACAUAGAACACAUCAAAUAUGGCAAAUGGUUAAGUAGGGUAAGGUUAAAUAUUCAUGCAUGCAAAUCUCAUUGGUUCCUUCAAAUGAAGCAUGCAUGGUUUUGCUUCUGUUAAAUCUGUUUCACAUGCAUAAAUAAUGACAUUUUUUAUAUUUCAGUGAACCUUAAAAGUAACCAUGAGUCCAACAAAGUAGAAAUGCAAUACUAUUUUUCUUCUUAGCCUGCAUUUAGACUUGGCAUUAACAUGCAAUCACUGUGCCUGUAUCACAUUAGCAGUGCAUUUACAUUUAGUUAUUUAGCAGACACUUUUAUAGUAGCUUUUAUAGUUUUUUAGCAGUACCCAUAUAGCGCGGGAUUAUUGCGAUUUAUUGAUUCAUCACAGACUGGCUAAUUAAUCUAAACAUACCAAAAUCAAAUUUCCCAAUCAAAUUUUACGAUUAUAAGGAGAGUGCAGAAAAAGCAUAUGUGAUCCUGGAGCACAAAACCAGUCUUAAGUGUCAAUUUUUCGAAAUUGUUAUUUAUACAUAAUCUGAAAACUAAAUAAAUAAUCUCUCCUUUGAUGUAUGGUUUGUUAUGAGGACAAUAUUUGGGUGAGAUACAACUAUUUAAAAAUCUGGAAUCUGAGGGUAAAAAAAAAAGUGAAAUUUAAAGAUUAAAAUUUAAAGUUAAAAUGGAAGAUGAUGCACUGUUAAAAAAAUAAGAUAAAAAUAGUUCACCCAAAAAGGAAAUUACUGUCAUUUACUCACCCUCAGGUUGUUCCAAACAUAUGCA
rnacentral:lncRNA from 1 species